rnacentral:rRNA from 1 species
CUCGGGGAUAGCCUUUCGAAAGAAAGAUUAAUACCCGAUAGCAUAAUGAUUCCGCAUGGUUUCAUUAUUAAAGGAUUCCGGUAAAGGAUGGGGAUGCGUUCCAUUAGGUUGUUGGUGAGGUAACGGCUCACCAAGCCUUCGAUGGAUAGGGGUUCUGAGAGGAAGGUUCCCCACAUUGGAACUGAGACACGGUCCAAACUCCUACGGGAGGCAGCAUG